rnacentral:rRNA from 1 species
CCGCAUAAGCCCACGACCCGGCAUCGGGUAGAGGGAAAAGGAGCAAUCCGCUUUGAGAUGGCCUCGCGUCCGAUUAGCUAGUUGGUGAGGUAACGGCCCACCAAGGCGACGAUCGGUAGCCGGACUGAGAGGUUGAACGGCCACAUUGGGACUGAGACACGGCCCAGACUCCUACGGGAGGCAGCAGUGGGGAAUAUUGCACAAUGGGGGAAACCCUGAUGCAGCGACGCCGCGUGGAGGAAGAAGGUCUUCGGAUUGUAAACUCCUGUUGUUGAGGAAGAUAAUGACGGUACUCAACAAGGAAGUGACGGCUAACUACGUGCCAGCAGCCGCGGUAAAACGUAGGUCACAAGCGUUGUCCGGAAUUACUGGGUGUAAAGGGAGCGCAGGCGGGAAGACAAGUUGGAAGUGAAAUCCAUGGGCUCAACCCAUGAACUGCUUUCAAAACUGCUUUUCUUGAGUAGUGCAGAGGUAGGCGGAAUUCCCGGUGUAGCGGUGGAAUGCGUAGAUAUCGGGAGGAACACCAGUGGCGAAGGCGGCCUACUGGGCACCAACUGACGCUGAGGCUCGAAAGUGUGGGUAGCAAACAGGAUUAGAUACCCUGGUAGUCCACACUGU